rnacentral:rRNA from 1 species
AACGAACGCUAGCGGCAGGCUUAACACAUGCAAGUCGAGCGCCCCGCAAGGGGAGCGGCAGACGGGUGAGUAACGCGUGGGAACGUACCCUUUGCUACGGAAUAGCUCCGGGAAACUGGACUUAAUACCGCAUGUGCCCUACGGGGGACAAAGUUAUCGGCAAAGGAUCGGCCCGCGUCGGAUUAGCUAGUUGGUGGGGUAAUGGCCUACCAAGGCGACGAUCCAUAGCUGGUCUGCGAGGAUGAUCAGCCACAUUGGGACUGAGACGCGGCCCAAACUCCUACGGGAGGCAGCAGUGGGGAAUAUUGGACAAUGGGCGCAAGCCUGAUCCAGCCAUGCCGCGUGAGUGAUGAAGGCCUUAGGGUUGUAAAGCUCUUUCACCGGAGAAGAUAAUGACGGUAUCCGGAGAAGAAGCCCCGGCUAACUUCGUGCCAGCCGCCGCCGUAAGAC